UUGGGAAUCUUGCGCAAUGGGGGAAACCCUGACGCAGCGACGCCGCGUGCGGGAAGAAGGUCUUCGGAUCGUAAACCGCUUUUCUACGGGACGAUAAUGACGGUACCGUAGGAAUCAGCACCGGCUAACUCCGUGCCAGCAGCCGCGGUAAUACGGAGGGUGCCAGCGUUGUCCGGAAUUACUGGGCGUAAAGCGCUCGUAGGCGGUCGCGUACGGCAGUGGUGAAAGCUCCCGGCUCAACUGGGAGAUGCCCAUUGCAACGGCGUGACUUGAGGGUGGUAGAGGCAGAUGGAAUUCCUGGUGUAGCGGUGAAAUGCGUAGAUAUCAGGAGGAACACCCAUGGCGAAGGCAGUCUGCUGGGCCACACCUGACGCUGAGGAGCGAAAGCUAGGGGAGCGAACGGG
rnacentral:rRNA from 1 species